GACGAACGCUGGCGGCGUGCCUAAUACAUGCAAGUAGGACGCAGUCGCGAACGGGUGAGUAACGCGUAGGUAACUACCUAUUAGAGGGGGAUAACUAUUGGAAACGAUAGCUAAUACCGCAUACUAGUAGAUGGACCUGCGUUGUAUUAGCUAGUAGGUAGGGUAAAGGCCUACCUAGGCAACGAUACAUAACCGUGCUGGGAGGGAGAACGGGCACAAUGGGACUGAGGCAAGGGCCAGACCUCUUAGGGAGGGAAGAGGAGGGAAACUUCGGAAAUUGGGGGAAACCUGACCGAGGAACGCCGGGGGAUUGAAGGAAGUCCUCGGAUCGGAAAGGUAUGUUGAUAAGGAAGCGGUACUUAACCAGGAAGGGACGGCUAACUACGUGCCAGCCGCCGCGGUAAUAC
rnacentral:rRNA from 1 species